GCCUGGGUAGCUCAGUGGUUGAGCAUCUGCCUUUGACUCAGGGUGUGAUCUCGGAGUCUGGGAUCCAGUCCCACAUCAGGCU
rnacentral:tRNA from 1 species